CAGAUAGCUAAAAUUACAAAUACGAGCAACACAGACAUAACCACAAGGCACAAAAGAAACAACACAAGGGCCUAGGCACAAGCCAAAAAUCAGCCACAUCAGGAGGAUUCAAACGCUAGUGAAUAAAGAGAAUGGUAGAGAAACCUGGUCUCGGUGGCAGAAGGUCAGAACCAGAGGACGUUGAAUGAAGGUGAUUUUCUAAAGGAGCAAAGAAGGCACGAGAAAGAGGGAGAGAGAGACAGAGGAUGGACAAGGUGCUGUGAGUCGGCUAACGGGGUCGGACGCCGAGCAGGAGUCCGAGGUCCAGGGUUUUCGGUGAGGAGAGGAGUUGGAGACAGACUCGUGUGGAGCGUCUGGUCGACCACCGUGGUUGGUCCCAGGCGGCCGGUCGAGGUGGUCCGAGGGACUCGAAUGGUGGAGAGAGGAUCGUUACUAGAGCUCCAACUGUUGUGCACGAAGAGAUUGAACUAUGAUAAGUGUGGCACUUUUUAUUUUCCUUUUAUAUUUUAUUCUCUAUUAAUUAUAUAGUUCCAGUAAUAU